UCAAGGCCAAUUAUUUUGUUUGCUGUAUUUGAGUUGUUACGAUACAAUUUUGCUUUGUUAUAAAUUAAACAAUUUAUUUAUACUUUUAAUAAUCGGUUAGUUUAUUCAUUUCCACAUGCGAAUUUAUGUAUAUUUAAAACCUUUCUAACCCGCCUAUGACACCGACUAGGUCGGUAAAUAGGUUGUGUUCCUUUUUUUCUCACACCCAAGGACAUAAGGAUAAGGACGGAAAUUUUGGCGAAAAGAUAUUUUUCGAUCGUGAAUUGCUGAAUGAACUGAUUGCAUGGUUGAAUUAUUUCGCUCGUUAACUACCUAGAAGGGAUUUUCGAAUUUUCAGCCAACUGUGGUUCCUUUUUGAUAUUGUGAAGUUUGGAGUAUUUUGGGACAAUAUUGGAAACCACCGCUGCAAAAGCAGGAUUUUUAUAAAAAGGGCAAAUAGUCAGUAUUUUCUCUCAAUUCUCAGAGGACGAUCUUUGUCUGUUUUGUGUUGGAAACACCCUCGAUUAUUAGGAGGGUGUUAGAAUAUUCCUAAGAAAGGCGUAUUUGCAUCAGCUUGAAUUUGGGAAAUUGAAAUCGAUUGCCAGAUCAGUCUCUUGAAGAAGUUUCCUGAUCGUUACCUUUACUAAUAAUUACCACUGGGAAUAUUAACAGAUUCCUACUACAUCCGUAUCCACCGAUACUGCCGGAUCAGUAUUCAUUCCCUGGCAGCUUACGAAAAAGGAGCACCCGAAAAGCAGCUAAGUUUAGACUAAGUUAUUUGAAUAAAGAACCCGGUGUUUAUUUAUUUCCUAUAAUAAAAUGUACAAGUUACCUCAUUGAGAGGAGUGGUGUAAGCUUUUACGUGACGUCACAUAUUAGCACAUAUUAGCGAAUGUAUUAUGAUAGUGGUAAUCUAGCAAUUGAAGUGAGUAAUCGGCAAACAGAAGGGUCACUGUAUUUCUUCUUUUUAUUAUUGUAAUAAACUUCCUUAGUCAUUGCAAA